rnacentral:lncRNA from 1 species
UUAUUAAAAUAAGAUAAAAAUAUAGCAAGAAAACCAGCCAAACUAAAAUUACAAAAGCUAGCUGAAGAGAUAGCUAGGCAGCCUAAAAACAUCCUCAUGCAAAAGAGAAGCAACAUGAGGGGUGCAGAGUCCCACCAAGUAAAGGAAUCCACUAUGGCACCUAAAUUGCUCAAACAAUUAGCUACCCAUCAGCCUCCCUGAAGACACGAGAAAAGCGCAACAUCAUGGAAUCCAUGAGAGCAAUACAAUUAUUCCAUCGAUGAAUAAGAAACCAUGGGCGGAAGCUGCUUGUUACGAAGAUGAAGCACAGUUAAAGCAGAUUCACAUUUGAUCCACGACAUAGUCCAACAUCCAAAAGAAGCAUGCUCAAUCGCCAAGAUAACAGCCAACAGUUCAGCAACAAAAGCCGUUUCAACAUGUAAUGGACAAGAGAAAUCCCCCAGAAAUUCUCCCUCACAGUUUCUGAACACAGCCCCACAAGCGAAAACAUGCAAAGAACCUUCAGCGAUUUUUGACUAUAAACGUAAGCAGAUUUUUAAUUUUAAU